rnacentral:hammerhead_ribozyme from 1 species
AUCCAGUUGACGAGUCCCAAAUAGAACGAAACACGCCUUGUUCUAGAU